CGUGGCCUGGUGGUCAAGACAACAGUCUGACAGCGUGAUGGUAGUAGGUUCGAGUCCGGGC
rnacentral:tRNA from 1 species